GCACCAAUGGGGUAGUGGUAACCUGGGUCGUUGCCACAUCUGUCCGUCGAUUUCGACCCGCCGGGGGUUCGAUUCCCCCUUGAUGCA